AAGAGACAGCAGCCGCCACGGUAAGACAGAGGGUGCAAGCGUUAAUCGGAAUUACUGGGCGUAAAGCGCGCGUAGGUGGUUCGCCAAGUUGGAUGUGAAAUCCCCGGGCUCAACCUGGGAACUGCAUCCAAAACUGGCGAGCUAGAGUAUGGUAAAGGGUGGUGGAAUUUCCUGUGUAGCGGUGAAAUGCGUAGAUAUAGGAAGGAACAUCAGUGGCGAGGGCGACCACCUGGACUGAUACUGACACUGAGGUGCGAGAGCGUGGGGAGCAAACAGGAUUAGAGACCCCAGUAGUCCCUGUCUCUUAUAC
rnacentral:rRNA from 1 species